rnacentral:ncRNA from 2 species
CUCAUCUUGUCGGAGUGCCUAAGGGCUGAGACCGUUAAUUCGGGAUCCGCGGAACCUGAUCAGGUUAGAACCUGCGAAGGGAACAAGAGUAAAUUUAUA